rnacentral:rRNA from 1 species
UACGGAAGGCAGCAGUGGGGAAUAUUGCACAAUGGGCGAAAGCCUGAUGCAGCUAUGCCGCGUGUAUGAAGAAGGCCUUAGGGUUGUAAAGUACUUUCAUCGGGGAGGAAAAACAAAACUAAUAAUUUUAUUUCUUGACGUUACCCGAAAAAGAAGCACCGGCUAACUCCGUGCCAGCAGCCGCGGUAAUACGGAGGGUGCUAGCGUUAAUCAGAAUUACUGGGCGUAAAGAGCACGUAGGUGGUUUUUUAAGUCAGAUGUGAAAUCCCUGGGCUUAACCUAGGAACUGCAUUUUGAAACUGAAAUACUAGAGUAUCGUAGAGGGAGGUAGAAUUCUAGGUGUAGCGGUGAAAUGCGUAGAUAUCUGGAGGAAUACCUGUGGCGAAAGCGGCCUCCUAAACGAAUACUGACACUGAGGUGCGAAAGCGUGGGGAGCAAACAGGAUUGGAUACC